AAGGGCCUUUUUUUUAGUUAGAAAAUAAAUAGAAAUGAUUAGUAAUUAGUUAGAAAAUCAAUAGAUAUUUGUAUAUGUGUUAGAAAAUCAAAUUAGUGGAAAUUAGUAGUAAUUAGGUUAGUCGCUCCGCCUAGGUUAGAAAUUAAUCGUGUUUCGUCAUGGUUGCGUCCCCGCCUCCGCCGUCCCGCCGCCUUGGCCACCGCCGUCCCAACCUAGGCACCGUCGACCGCGCGAAAUUCGUACAAAUUCAUGUUAUUGCUAGAAAUUCGUACAAAUUCAUGUUAUUGCUAGAAAUUCAUACAAAAUUCAUGUUAUUGCUAGAAAUUCCAAUAAAUAUGGACAAAUUAGUAGAAAUUUGGUAGAAAUUCGUACAAAGUACUACUAAUUUGUUGAAAUUUGUAUAAACAUUCCGGACUUUGUGGGAUUCAUGUUAUUUUAUGAUUUCAUGUAUAUACCCU
rnacentral:lncRNA from 1 species